AGUGAACGCUGGCGGUAGGCCUAACACAUGCAAGUCGAACGGCAGCACAGUAAGAGCUUGCUCUUACGGGUGGCGAGUGGCGGACGGGUGAGGAAUACAUCGGAAUCUACUUUUUCGUGGGGGAUAACGUAGGGAAACUUACGCUAAUACCGCAUACGACCUACGGGUGAAAGCAGGGGAUCUUCGGACCUUGCGCGAUUGAAUGAGCCGAUGUCGGAUUAGCUAGUUGGCGGGGUAAAGGCCCACCAAGGCGACGAUCCGUAGCUGGUCUGAGAGGAUGAUAAGCCAAACUGGAACUGAGACACGGUCCAGACCCCUACGGGAGGGAGCAGGGGGGAAUAUUGGAAAAGGGGGGAAAGCCUGAUCCAGCCAUACCGGGUGGGUGAAGAAGGCCUUCGGGUUGUAAAGCCCUUUUGUGGGGAAAAAAAAGCAGCAGGUUAAUACCCCGCUGUUCUGACGGUACCAAAAGAAUAAGCACCGGCUAACUUCGU
rnacentral:rRNA from 1 species